rnacentral:rRNA from 1 species
UACGUAGGGUGCAAGCGUUGUCCGGAAUUAUUGGGCGUAAAGAGCGUGUAGGCGGCCAGGUAGGUCAGCUGUGAAAACUCGAGGCUCAACCUCGAGACGUCGGUUGAAACCAUCUGGCUAGAGUCCGGAAGAGGGUCGUGGAAUUCCCAGUGUAGAGGUGAAAUUCGUAGAUAUUGGGAAGAACACCGGUGGCGAAGGCGGCGACCUGGUCCGAUACUGACGCUGAGGCGCGAAAGCGUGGGGAGCAAACAGG